rnacentral:rRNA from 2 species
GGCGAGGGCGGCGUGCCUAUACAUGCAAGUCGAGCGGACAGAUGGGAGCUUGCUCCCUGAUGUUAGCGGCGGACGGGUGAGUAACACGUGGGUAACCUGCCUGUAAGACUGGGAUAACUCCGGGAAACCGGGGCUAAUACCGGAUGGUUGUCUGAACCGCAUGGUUCAGACAUAAAAGGUGGCUUCGGCUACCACUUACAGAUGGACCCGCGGCGCAUUAGCUAGUUGGUGAGGUAACGGCUCACCAAGGCGACGAUGCGUAGCCGACCUGAGAGGGUGAUCGGCCACACUGGGACUGAGACACGGCCCAGACUCCUACGGGAGGCAGCAGUAGGGAAUCUUCCGCAAUGGACGAAAGUCUGACGGAGCAACGCCGCGUGAGUGAUGAAGGUUUUCGGAUCGUAAAGCUCUGUUGUUAGGGAAGAACAAGUGCCGUUCAAAUAGGGCGGCACCUUGACGGUACCUAACCAGAAAGCCACGGCUAACUACGUGCCAGCAGCCGCGGUAAUACGUAGGUGGCAAGCGUUGUCCGGAAUUAUUGGGCGUAAAGGGCUCGCAGGCGGUUUCUUAAGUCUGAUGUGAAAGCCCCCGGCUCAACCGGGGAGGGUCAUUGGAAACUGGGGAACUUGAGUGCAGAAGAGGAGAGUGGAAUUCCACGUGUAGCGGUGAAAUGCGUAGAGAUGUGGAGGAACACCAGUGGCGAAAGGCGACUCUCUGGUCUGUAACUGACGCUGAGGAGCGAAAGCGUGGGGAGCGAACAGG